AUUGAACGCUGGCGGCAGGCUUAACACAUGCAAGUCGAGCGGGGACUUCGGUCCUAGCGGCGAACGGGUGAGGAAUGCUUGGGAAUCUGCCCAGUAGCGGGGGAUAACGUUUCGAAAGGAACGCUAAUACCGCAUACGCCCUACGGGGGAAAGGGGGGGAUCUUCGGACCUCUCACUAUUGGAUGAGCCCAAGUCGGAUUAGCUAGUUGGUGAGGUAAAGGCUCACCAAGGCGACGAUCCGUAGCUGGUCUGAGAGGAUGAUCAGCCACACUGGAACUGAGAUACGGUCCAGACUCCUACGGGAGGCAGCAGUGGGGAAUAUUGGACAAUGGGCGAAAGCCUGAUCCAGCCAUGCCGCGUGUGUGAAGAAGGCCUUCGGGUUGUAAAGCACUUUAAGCGAGGAGGAAGGGCUCUGGGUUAAUACCUUGGAGCAUUGACGUUACUCGCAGAAUAAGCACCGGCUAACUCUGUGCCAGCCGCCGCCGUAACAC
rnacentral:rRNA from 1 species